GCCGGGCAUGCUGGUGGGCGCCUGUAGUCCUAGCUUCUCGGGAGGCUGAGGCAGGAGAAUCACUUGAACCCAGGAAGCUGAAGUUGCAGUGAGCCAAGGUCAUGCCACUGUACUCCAGCCUGGGUGACAGAGUGAGAUUCUGUCUCGA
ensembl:misc_RNA Metazoa_SRP Metazoan signal recognition particle RNA